UACGUAGGGGGCAAGCGUUGUCCGGAAUUAUUGGGCGUAAAGCGCGCGCAGGCGGUUUUUUAAGUCUGGGGUUUAACUGCAGGGCUCAACCCUGUAUCGCCUCGGAAACUGGGAGACUGGAGUGUAGGAGAGGAAAGUGGAAUUCCACGUGUAGCGGUGAAAUGCGUAGAGAUGUGGAGGAACACCAGUGGCGAAGGCGGCUUCCUGGUCCAGCACCGACGUUCAGGCACGAAAGCGUGGGGAGCAAACAGG
rnacentral:rRNA from 1 species